ACGGGAGGCAGCAGUGGGGGAUAUUGCACAAUGGGCGCAAGCCUGAUGCAGCAACGCCGCGUGAGCGAAGAAGGCCUUCGGGUUGUAAAGCUCUGUCCUAAGGGACGAAGAAGUGACGGUACCUUAGGAGGAAGCCCCGGCUAACUACGUGCCAGCAGCCGCGGUAAUACGUAGGGGGCGAGCGUUAUCCGGAAUUAUUGGGCGUAAAGAGUACGUAGGUGGCUGUAUAAGCGCAAGGUGAAAGCCCGGGGCUCAACUCCGGCGAGCCUUGUGAACUGUACGGCUUGAGUGCAGGAGGGGAAAGUGGAAUUCCUAGUGUAGCGGUGAAAUGCGUAGAUAUUAGGAGGAACACCAGUGGCGAAGGCGACUUUCUGGACUGUAACUGACACUGAGGUACGAAAGCGUGGGGAGCAAACAGGAUUAGAUACCCUGGUA
rnacentral:rRNA from 1 species